CACGUAGGCGGCUUGGCAAGUCAGUGGUGAAAUCCCUCGGCUCAACCGAGGAAUUGCUAUUGAAACUGCUUCGCUUGAGGCCGGGAGAGGGUGGUGGAAUUCCCAGUGUAGCGGUGAGAUGCGUAGAUAUUGGGAGGAACACCAGUGGCGAAGGCGGCCACCUGGACCGGUUCUGACGCUGAGGUGCGAAAGUGUGGGGAGCAAACA
rnacentral:rRNA from 1 species